GGUAUGAUUGCCUCAAGUUUGAUAUCAUGACCAAAAGUAACUCCACAGACUAUUUAUAAAGUGUUGGAAUGUUUGAAGUGCUAGGUAUGGAGUUUUACGGAGAAGCCCAUGUCUUGUUAAUGAAACACAACAAACUGGUGUGUAGAAUGUAUGUAGGUCCAUAAGGAAAAAGGUUUUUAUUCUGUGAUAAAAACAUGGUAUAUCGUAGUGUACUACAUAUAUUAUUAUAAAAUGUAGAUAUUAUUUAUUUUCACAUUGUAAUAUUAUUUAAAUUUCCAUUAGAAUUUCAUAAGGAAAUUUGGAAGUGGAAAAUAAUUUAAAAUUAAUUAAAAUGAUGGAUUUUGAUAUAUAAUGCUGUUGACCAAUUUAUUUUUUUUUUUGUGGUAUAUGCAUGUAUAUUUUUUCAUUAUAAAUGAAAUAUUUUGAGAGAUGAGACAUACAAAAUGUGCAUGCCACAAAAAUGUUCCUCCAAUAAGCAGAUAAGCUGGACACUUUGUUUGUUGCAACACAAAUCUUACUGGACUUCAUUUAUUAUACUAAAUGUCACAGGACUUUUUUUCUCUCUGUAUUUGUUUUUAUUUAUUAAUACUUGAACAAUCACACACACUAUUUUGUGUAAAUUUUUAAAGUGAUAUAUGUAAAGUGCUUGCUCCAUGGAAAAUAUUUUUUUUAUCUCUCUCUUUUUUUCUUUCAAAUUUGUAGAUAAUUUUUAGUAAAAUAUCAAGACUUUGAAUAUAAAUUUUAAAGUUUGAGUAUUUUUGAUGUUUUUAUUGAAUUUAAUGUUUUGAUGUUUUAUUGAGGGAAAAAAUCAUCUUUGUUAUUUGAUUCAUCACAGUGCUUUGCAUAUGCGUGUGAACAAUUGAUGCAUUGAUUUAUUAAGUCCACACUACUGUUUUUGCAUAGAAUUUUUGCAGGGGGAAAGAAGAGCACAAAUUGGUUUGCAGUAUUGUAUAUUAAUGUUCAAUAAUUUAAACAUAUAUGUCCCUGUAAAACAGCAAUAAAUAACGUUUGAUAUAGUUUACUGAAAUGUAUAGAAAUGGACAUGGGUGAUUGUUGUUAGAGUUGGGAAGUUGAUGAAAAUUAACUGGCUGCAGAUGUGCAGGUUAAUUUCACUGAAGGAUCAGUUUGUUGAAAUAAAAUUGUAUUAUUUAC
rnacentral:sRNA from 1 species